rnacentral:rRNA from 1 species
UACGAGGGGGGCGAGCGUUAUUCGGAAUUAUUGGGCGUAAAGGGCGCGUAGGCGGCUGUACAAGUCAAAGGUGAAAUCCCUCGGCUCAACUGAGGAACUGCCUUUGAAACUGUACGGCUUGAGGCCGGGAGGGGGUAGCGGAAUUCCCAGUGUAGCGGUGAAAUGCGUAGAUAUCGGGAGGAACACCGGUGGCGAAGGCGGUUCUCUGGGCCUGUUCUGACGCUGAGACGCGAAAGCGUGGGGAGCAAACAGG